rnacentral:rRNA from 1 species
UAGUACGGCGAGUGACCGGGAUGAGCUCAAAUUUAAAAUCUGGCGUCUUUCAGGCGUCCGAGUUGUAAUCUAUAGAGGCGUUUUCCGCGCCGGACCGCGUCCAAGUCUCUUGGAAUAGAGUAUCAAAGAGGGUGACAAUCCCGUACUUGACGCGACAACCGGUGCUCUGUGAUACGUUCUCAAUGAGUCGAGUUGUUUGGGAAUGCAGCUCUAAAUGGGUGGUAAAUUCCAUCUAAGGCUAAAUAUUGGCGAGAGACCGAUAGCGAACAAGUACCGUGAGGGAAAGAUGAAAAGCACUUUGGAAAGAGAGUUAAACAGCACGUGAAAUUGUUAAAAGGGAAACGAUUGAAGUCAGUCGUGUGAAAGGUAUUCAGCCGUCUCUGGCGGUGUAUUUGCCUUUCACGGGUCAACAUCAGUUUGAUCCGGUAGAAAAAGGCGGGAGGAAGGUGGCACCCUCGGGUGUGUUAUAGCCUCCUGUCAUAUGUGCCGGACCAGACUGAGGAACGCAGCUUGCCGCAAGGCCGGGGUUCGCCCACGUACAAGCUUAGGAUGUUGACAUAAUGGCUUUAAACGACCCGCUG